rnacentral:misc_RNA from 1 species
GUAGGUGAACCUGCGGAAGGAUCAUUAACACGUAUUCACGUUUAUAACCCGAGAAUUUCCUUAGGAUGGCUUAUUCGAGUAAAAGCCCUGAUGCUCUUUUGUCAGUGUAUGGCGAGGAGUCUUAAUUGGAACCUACUUGGAAUUGAUUGCUAGCCGCUCUUUAUGAGUUCUCUCAUAAGGGUAUGUGGUUCUUUCUAAUCUGAGUGGGAUCUGACUGAGGCAUCUUGCUGUGUGUCGAUGAGAGAGUGUU